rnacentral:misc_RNA from 1 species
GUCAACCUACACAGGUUUAAUUAGGCUACUUUCGACAUGUGCUAGUGGAUCUCCGCUUGGAGCGAAAACCUUACUACUGCUUGGAAUAAGUGGAAUACUCAAGGAUAUACUAUCAGGUUCUGAUCUUGUGGCCACUGUGUCUAUUUCACCUGCCUUGAGCAAACCUCCGGAACAGAUUUUUGAGAUCGUGAACCUGGCAAAUGAGCUCCUUCCUCCGCUGCCUCAAGGAACCAUCUCUCUUCCAACCGGCACUAAUUUGCUCAUUAAAGGUUCUGCUAUAAAGAAAUCUUCUGCUAGUGGUUCUACCAAACAGGAGGAUAUGAAUCCAUCUUCCCAGGAGGUUUCAGCUCGAGAAAAAUUGUUGAAUGAUCAGCCUGAACUUCUGCAACAAUUUGGAAUGGAUCUUCUUCCUGUUCUGAUCCAGGUAUACGGAUCCAGUGUGAAUAGUCCAGUUCGCCACAAGUGCCUCUCAGCUAUUGGAAAGCUUAUGUAUUUCAGCGGUGCAAAUAUGAUUCAAUCUCUAAAUAACGUCACUAACAUAUCAAGUUUCUUGGCUGGAGUAUUGGCUUGGAAGGAUCCUCAAGUGCUGGUGCCUGCUCUUCAAGUAGCAGAAAUACUAAUGGAAAAGCUUCCUGGAAUUUUUGCCAAGAUGUUUGUGCGAGAAGGUGUUGUUCAUGCCGUAGAUGCUCUGAUAUUGUCUCCCUCCCUAGGUUCUUCUACUUCCCAGCCAUCUUCUGCUGAGAAGGAAAACGAUUGUAUACUCGGGUCAUCUCGUUCUAGACGUAACCGACGUCGUGGCAGUAAUUCAAAUGCAGAUGCCAAUUCCAUUGAGGAUCCUAAAAGUCCAGUUCCAGGGAGUGGAUCACCACCAAAUUCAAUGGAAAUACCAAAGACCAGUUCUAACCUUCGGAUUGCAGUCAGUGCAGGUGCCAAAUCUUUCAAAGAUAAAUACUUCCCUUCAGAAUCUGGGGCUACUGAGGUUGGUGUUACAGAUGAUCUUUUACGAUUGAAGAAUCUCUGUAUGAAGUUGAACACUGGUGUUGAUGAACAAAUAUCUAAACCUAAAGGAAAAUCAAAAGCUUCUGUUCCUCGGCUUGGGGAUAUUUCUGCCAGUAAGGAAGACACCUUGGCUGAACUGGUAGCUUCCAUGCUGGGGGAGCUCAGCAAAGGGGAUGGUGUAUCAACUUUUGAGUUCAUUGGAAGUGGAGUGGUUGCAGCUUUGCUGAACUAUUUUACAUGUGGAUAUUUUUCAAAGGAAAGAAUCUCAGAUGCUAACUUGUCUAGGCUUCGACAACAAGCACUCAGAAGAUACAAGUCUUUUAUUUCAGUUGCCCUUCCUUCCAGUGUAGGUGGGAAUAUGGUUCCUAUGACUGUUUUGGUUCAAAAGCUUCAAAAUGCUUUGUCUUCCUUGGAGCGGUUCCCUGUUGUGCUGAGUCAUUCUUCAAGAUCAUCUACUGGAAAUGCACGACUUUCUUCAGGUUUAAGUGCUUUGUCACAACCAUUCAAGCUACGCCUUUGCAGAGCUCAAGGAGACAAGACCCUUCGUGACUACUCUUCAAAUGUUGUAUUGAUCGAUCCUUUAGCAAGUCUAGCGGCUAUUGAAGACUUUCUGUGGCCUCGAGUUCAGAGAGUUGAGUCUGGUCAAAAGGCCUUGGCAUCAGUAGGCAACUCUGAGUCUGGGACCACCGCUGCAGGGGUUGGUGCUUCAUGCCCAUCGACCUCUACUCCCGCUUCGGGAUCUCGUCGUACACGAUCUAGGUCAGCGGUUAAUAUAAAUGAUGGUGCAAAGAAAGACUCACCACAGGAAAAAAAUGGAAGUUCAUCCAAGGGCAAAGGGAAGGCUGUUCUGAAGCCUGCUCAAGAAGAUGGCAAGGGACCCCAAACAAGAAAUGCUGUUCGAAGACGAGCAGCAUUGGAUAAAGAAGCAGAAGUUAAACCUGUGAAUGGGGAAUCUAGUUCUGAGGAUGAUGAGUUGGACAUGUCACCUGUUGAAAUUGAUGACGCUUUGGUUAUUGAGGAUGAAGAUAUAUCUGAUGAUGAUGAAGAUGACCACGAUGAUGUGUUGGGUGAUGAUUCUCUUCCUGUUUGCAUGCCUGACAAAGUUCAUGAUGUCAAAUUGGGCGAUUCUUCGGAAGAUAGUCCUGCCACUCAGACUCCAAAUGAUAAUCAGACAAAUGCUGCUGGUGGUUCAAGCAGCAGAGCUGCUUCUGCUCAGGGAUCUGAUUCUGUUGAGUUCAGGAGUGGGAGUUCUUAUGGUUCAAGGGGUGCAAUGUCAUUUGCUGCAGCUGCCAUGGCUGGACUUGCAUCUGCGAACGGUAGAGGUUUGAGAGGAGCUAGAGAUCGUCAUGGUCGCCCUCUAUUUAGCACUAGCGAUCCACCCAGACUUGUAUUUUCUGCUGGUGGAAAGCAGCUUAAUAGACACUUAACUAUCUACCAGGCCAUCCAGCGCCAACUUGUCCUUGACGAGGAUGACGAAGAGAGGUACGGUGGCACUGACUUUCCGUCUAGUGACGGAAGCAGACUUUGGGGUGAUAUUUAUACUAUCACAUACCAAAGAGUUGACAGCCAAGCAGAGAGGUCUACGAAAGGGGAUGGGAGCUCAACUUCCACGAAGUCUAAUAAAGCUAGUUCUUCAGCAAGUGCCAGCGCUGAUCCCUCAUUGCAUCAAGCAUCAUUGUUAGAUAGUAUAUUACAGGGAGAACUUCCUUGUGAUAUGGAGAAAAGCAAUUCUACUUACAACAUUUUGGCUCUUUUACGUGUAGUAGAGGGAUUAAACCAGCUGGCCCCACGAUUACAUGUGCAGUCAGUUAUUGAUGAUUUUUCUGAAGGCAAAAUAUUGAGUUUAGAUGAGCUCAAUACUACUGGUGUCAAAAUUCCCUCGGAGGAAUUUGUAAACAGCAAGCUCACUCCAAAGUUGGCCCGACAGAUACAGGAUGCUCUAGCCCUUUGUAGUGGGUCUCUUCCAUCAUGGUGUUCCCAGUUGACAAGGUCCUGUCCGUUUCUUUUUCCAUUUGAGACUCGGCGCCAGUACUUCUAUUCAACGGCCUUUGGAUUAUCUAGGGCUUUAUAUCGGCUUCAACAGCAGCAAGGUGCAGAUGGAAAUGGAUCUACCAAUGAGAGAGAAGUCAGGGUUGGGAGACUACAGCGCCAGAAAGUCCGUGUCUCUAGGAAUCGUAUUCUGGAUUCUGCUGCAAAGGUAAUGGAGAUGUACUCUAGCCAAAAAGCUGUUCUCGAGGUCGAAUAUUUUGGUGAAGUUGGAACUGGUUUGGGCCCAACUCUGGAAUUCUAUACCCUGUUAAGUCGGGAUCUGCAGAAAGUUGGACUGAGAAUGUGGAGAACAAGUUCCUCAUCAAGUGGACAUUCAAUGGAAGUGGGUGUGGAUGAAAAAUUGAGUGGGGGUGAUAAAGAGCUUGUCCAAGCACCUCUUGGAUUAUUCCCACGCCCUUGGUCAUCAACUGUUGAAACUGCAGAUGACAACCACUUCCCGAAGGUGAUUGAAUAUUUCAGAUUGCUAGGGCGUGUGAUGGCGAAAGCACUUCAAGAUGGGCGGCUAUUGGAUCUUCCUCUGUCAACUGCAUUUUACAAGCUUCUUCUUGGCCAAGAGCUUGAUCUGUAUGAUAUU